GUUUUUGUUGUUGUUUUUGUUGUUGUCAUUGUCGUCAUCAUCGUUAUUUUUGUUGUUGUCAUUGUUGUCUUUGAUGUCGUCGUUCUCGCUGUUAUCGUUGUGGUUGUCAUUGUUGUCGUUGUUCUCGUCAUUGUCGUUGUUGUCGUCCUUGUCAUCGUUGUAGUUGUUGUGGUUGAUGUUGUUGUCGUGGUUGUUCUUGUUGUUGUU
rnacentral:lncRNA from 1 species